GCAUCAGGUAACAUCAAAUCGUACCCCAAACCGACACAGGUGGUCAGGUAGAGAAUACCAAGGCGCUUGAGAGAACUCGGGUGAAGGAACUAGGCAAAAUGGUGCCGUAACUUCGGGAGAAGGCACGCUGGUGUGUAGGUGAAGUCCCUGCGGAUGGAGCUGAGACCAGUCGAAGAUACCAGCUGGCUGCAACUGUUUAUUAAAAACACAGCACUGUGCAAACACGAAAGUGGACGUAUACGGUGUGACGCCUGCCCGGUGCCGGAAGGUUAAUUGAUGGGGUUAUCCGUAAGGAGAAGCUCUUGAUCGAAGCCCCGGUAAACGGCGGCCGUAACUAUAACGGUCCUAAGGUAGCGAAAUUCCUUGUCGGGUAAGUUCCGACCUGCACGAAUGGCGUAAUGAUGGCCAGGCUGUCUCCACCCGAGACUCAGUGAAAUUGAACUCGCUGUGAAGAUGCAGUGUACCCGCGGCAAGACGGAAAGACCCCGUGAACCUUUACUAUAGCUUGACACUGAACAUUGAGCCUUGAUGUGUAGGAUAGGUGGGAGGCUUUGAAGCGUGGACGCCAGUCUGCGUGGAGCCAACCUUGAAAUACCACCCUUUAAUGUUUGAUGUUCUAACGUUGGCCCCUUACCGGGGUUGCGGACAGUGUCUGGUGGGUAGUUUGACUGGGGCGGUCUCCUCCCAAAGCGUAACGGAGGAGCACGAAGGUUAGCUAAUCCUGGUCGGACAUCAGGAGGUUAGUGCAAUGGCAUAAGCUAGCUUGACUGCGAGCGUGACGGCGCGAGCAGGUGCGAAAGCAGGUCAUAGUGAUCCGGUGGUUCUGAAUGGAAGGGCCAUCGCUCAACGGAUAAAAGGUACUCCGGGGAUAACAGGCUGAUACCGCCCAAGAGUUCAUAUCGACGGCGGUGUUUGGCACCUCGAUGUCGGCUCAUCACAUCCUGGGGCUGAAGUAGGUCCCAAGGGUAUGGCUGUUCGCCAUUUAAAGUGGUACGCGAGCUGGGUUUAGAACGUCGUGAGACAGUUCGGUCCCUAUCUGCCGUGGGCGCUGGAGAAUUGAGGGGGGCUGCUCCUAGUACGAGAGGACCGGAGUGGACGCAUCACUGGUGUUCGGGUUGUCAUGCCAAUGGCACUGCCCGGUAGCUAAAUGCGGAAGAGAUAAGUGCUGAAAGCAUCUAAGCACGAAACUUGCCCCGAGAUGAGUUCUCCCUGAGACUUUAAGUCUCCUGAAGGAACGUUGAAGACGACGACGUUGAUAGGCCGGGUGUGUAAGCGCAGCGAUGCGUUGAGCUAACCGGUACUAAUGAACCGUGAGGCUUAACCUU
rnacentral:rRNA from 1 species